GGGCCCGAGUUGUAAUUUGUAGAGGAUGCUUCUGAGUAACCACCGACCUAAGUUCCUUGGAACAGGACGUCAUAGAGGGUGAGAAUCCCGUAUGGGAUGGGGUGUCCGCGCCCGUGUGAAGCUCCUUCGACGAGUCGAGUUGUUUGGGAAUGCAGCUCAAAUUGGGUGGUAAAUUCCAUCUAAAGCUAAAUAUUGGCGAGAGACCGAUAGCGAACAAGUACCGUGAGGGAAAGAU
rnacentral:rRNA from 1 species